rnacentral:tRNA from 1 species
AUAAGUGCCUGAUAAAGGGUUAAUUUGAUAGAUUAAAUUAUGGGUUAUUUCUUUAUCU